rnacentral:rRNA from 1 species
UACGUAGGGUGCGAGCGUUGCCCGGAUUUAUUGGGCGUAAAGGGCGCGUAGGCGGCCACGCACGUCCGUUGUGAAAUCGCCCGGCUCAACUGGGCGGGGUCAGCGGAUACGGUGUGGCUCGAGCAAGCUGGGGGGCAAUGGAAUUCCCGGUGUAGUGGUGGAAUGCGUAGAUAUCGGGAGGAACACCAGUGGCGAAGGCGGUUGCCUGGAGCUUUGCUGACGCUGAUGCGCGAAAGCGUGGGGAGCGAUCCGG